rnacentral:lncRNA from 1 species
AUCACCCUAAAAAAUCAGACCAAACAUUCCACGAAUGUGAAAAUACAUUAGUCAACAGUGGUUGGUGGUGCCUCAUUGCUAACUGUCUGACUGCUUUGUGAGGCCUCAACAUUGUUAGAAUGGUCAAUCACCGGCUUCAGAUGCUCCAUCAUUAGUAGUCAGUGUUUUAGAAGCAGGAAGUUCCUUGUGAAGGUUUGCGCUUAGGAACUAAGGUCCAAUUGUCUUCUCUUCCAUGUAAUUUGGUAACUAUCAUAAUUGAGAAGCAGUAAUAUACUAAAUAUAAAAUAAGAUAAUAAUAAUGAUUUAAUAUGACAACAAAAGUGAUUAUAGUUCUAACCGAGACAUUCUCUCUAAACUAAAAAAAAUUCUAAAUAUCGAAAUAAAUAAAACCUAAAAAUUAUUAUAAUUUUAAAAAAAUCAUAAGAGUAAUUAUUUUCCACCAAUCUCAUUUCCAUUAACAACUAAAAAAUUCGUUUCCCUGUCCUUAUUGAACUUGAAGUUGCCACAUCAAGGCAGUGUUCGUACCCUAAAUAAUUGUUUUACCUUGCAUACACUGGAAAAAAAAUAACCUCCUGCCAAAACUCAAACAAAACACAUGAAUAAGCAAACAAACAAAUAGUGGACGUGGGACUGUUACUCUAGAUUUUUUAUAAUAGUUGGUUAUUGUAAAUGGUUGUGUUUGGGUGCAAGGAAAUUGCGAGUUAAUGCUUCUUGAAUGAAUGAUGAAAUAAAGGAGAUAUGAUAUGACCUCUUCUUCAAGCUUUGCAUGGCGAGCAAUGCCUGCUCUCAUUACUUGAUUAGCCUUUCGCUUUCGCCCUCCAAGAAGGAGAGAAAACUCCAUUUGUUUUUAGCACCAUUCCAAUCACACAACCUUCAAUAAUGAAUACACAGUAAUAACCCAAUUUCUUCAAAACACAUAAAAUUCAUGAUGGCGAAAGCCCAAUUAGAAAAAAUGAAAAUUGAUAUUGUAGAAGUAAGAUCCGGGACGAACAAACCCCGUUUGUUCUUGAAGCCGUGAAGAAAGGAAUCGGGAAGAGGGUGCUUUUUUCUUGCGGGUAGGUAAGUCCUCAAUAUCACUACCACCCAACCAACCUCGUAGGUAAAAUCAACACUCCGGUUCCUUUUUGGAUCUACCUCGGUUCAACAGCCUUCUGUAACACACAAAAAAAUUUAGCAGUGAAAUAAAUAAAUAGGAACUUGGAAAUAAAUUCUACAUAGAUAUUUAUAAAAUUUAAACGACACAUAAAAGAAAACAUAGAAGCAUAACAGAUGAAUUUUCGAUGAGUGAUGUUGGUGGGUGUUGCAAAUUUGAGAGAAUAAGUCGUUGGAGGUUUCUCGAUUAGCCAACAAAAUUAAUGAAUCCUCAUUUUUUUUUGUAUGCGAGGUUUAAAAACAAAUAAACCACAAUGUUAACCAGAGAUUCACAACUAAAUCAUAAAACAGGGGAACAAAUAUAAUUAACUCUAACAUUAGGGAGAGAAAGAAAGGAAUCGGGGAACAAAAUGCAGAGGUCGAAGAAGAUUGAAAAUUGAAGUAAAUCCUUAAUUCACAAUUUGUUUCAAUUAAGAGCAAAAAGAGAGAAACGAAUCCAGAAAAUCAAAAGUUGGAAGUAACCGCUCACGUUUAGCCACUACUUACUACGUCUCCUAAUAUUUUUUCUCUCUCUCAUAAUUUGAACAAAUACUAAUUCAAAACCGCUCCUCCAUUUAUUCCAAAUAUUUUUAAAAAAUGACGCAAUAUCCAAAAUAAUGAAAUAAAACCAAAUAUUAAUCUAAUGAUAAAAUAGAAAAAAAUUUGAGAACAGAAAAAUCUCCUUUAUAUAUAAAAGAUCUCCUACAAUAUCUAUGCGUAUGUGACAUUAAUAGAAUAUACAAUAUACAUUAACAUAAGUCAGACAUGGUGUAAAAAAGAAUUUAGCCAAAAUUAAUGCACAAGUGGUGGUGAUAACUUUUCUUUUCCAUGGAGUUUAGUAAAUCCUUCUCUCAAGUUUAUGCUCUGCCAAAUAUAAUGGUCUCUAUUAUUUUAAUCUCUUAAACCAAGGUGUUUGAGAUCAACCAAAUGUGACCAUUCUAAUACAUUUACAUGACAUGUGCCUUGUCUCUGAAUUAUUUUAACCGAAUAAAAAUAACUAACGACAUAUAUUAACUUGAUGCAUAACAAUAUAUAUAUGUAACUGAAUGUUUCGCUUCUAGACACUUAAGAUUGAGUCCCGAUCGAACCUUAGUGUGUAAAACUACAGGACUAAACCUAUGUUUGGAAACCCCUUAGUAAAUCUCUUAACGUAUGUUGAAUCCAAAAGAUAGCAAAUGUUAAAGGAUACCACACCUUAACUAGUAUAACAUUACCCGACUAACCCAUAUAACAUUAUACAUGUCUAAUAAUGAUUUCAAGUUGAUUUGCAUAACUAAGAAUUGCUCCUACAUAAAAUCCUUUUCCAUAAGUUAAUUGUUAAUUUGAAUACGUACAAAAAGUAUUGCUUUCAGAAAAACUUUAUGUCCCGCAUUCAUAUAUAUCAAAGCCACAAAAACUUACACGGAUUCUUAAGAUUGUUAAUUAAAGAUAAUAUGUAUAUAUAUACUAUCAUAUUAGUAGUUAGAAUAUUGAUAGAGGAUGAAUCUGACUGAUAUUGGCACGGCUCAAUCAGACUAAAGAACUCAACAAAUCUCUAAGAACUUUGAUUUGAUUGAGCCAAGCCAACAUCAAAAUGAUCAAAUGGUUAUAAUUCACCAAUCCAUGAUAAUCAAAAGAGAAAACCUUGUGCCAAAAUAUGAAAUGGGCAUAUAGUUAAAUAUACCACCAAAACGAAUACAUUUUGAUGCCUCCAGCUUCUAAUCCAUCGGGUAGAUCGCGAUUUCUGCAACGAUUUCAAAUCUCUGUACUGAUCGAAAGCAUAGAAUUAAUGAUCUAGACCAUGAAAUUGCUGCACAACAAAUAAAAUUGAAAAAUACUACUUCAGGUAAAGAAAUAGACGAAAAGUAUUGAGAAGGUUGGAGAAUUGAGUUAAAGGGUAAGAAUAUUAAGCUUAUAUAGGAGAGAA